rnacentral:rRNA from 1 species
GACAAAGGAGGCUAGCGUUGUUCGGAAUCACUGGGCGUAAAGCGCACGUAGGCGGUUCGACAAGUCGGGGGUUAAAGCCCGGGGCUCAACCUCGGAACUGCCCUCGAUACUGUCGGACUUGAGUCAGGGAGAGGUGGGUGGAAUUCCUGGUGUAGAGGUGAAAUGCGUAGAUAUUGGGAAGAACACCAGAGGCGAAGGCGGCUCACUGGGCCGUUACUGACGCUGAGGGGCGAAAGCGUGGGGAGCAAACAGG